CUGAACACACAGAUGAGCUCUUACGCUCAGGUCUCUCAGUGAGCACUGUGGUUCAACACACACUCUUAGUCUAUGUCAAGGAGAAAGCUGUUAGGGAGAAUCAGGGGCUCAACUUUCACAGGGGACGGGGACAUUUUUAUUUUUGUUUCCCCCCAGUUUUAUCAUUGCACUGUGAUAAAAAAAAAGUGGCAAUGGUGUGCUUUAGGACCAUGCGGACGCCACAGAUCAUGCGGACGCCACAGAUCAUGCGGACAAACCUGAGCCAAACAAUGAAACCAGUGGCCAAAGAAUUGAAGACGAAUAUCCUGACGUUUUUUGACAGCGCAAUAACUCACAAUCUAUGCUACAAGGGUCUUCCAAAUGGACAAUGACCCCAAGAAUAGUUCCAAAGUUGUGGCAAAAUGGCUUAAGGACAACAAAGUCAAGGUACUGGAGUGGCCAUCACAAAGCCCUGACCUCAAUCCCAUAGAAAAUUUGUGGGCAGAACUGAAAAAGCAUGUGCGAACAAGGAGACCUACAAACUCAGAUACACCAGCUCUGUCAGGAGGAAUGGGCCACAAUUCACCCAACUUAUUGUGUGAAGCUUGUGGAAGGUUACCUGAAAAGUUUGACCCAAGUUAAACAAUUUAAAGGUAAUGGUACCAAAUACUAAUUGAGUGUAUGUAAACUUCUGACCCACUGGGAAUGUGAUGAAAGAAAUAAAAGCUGAAAUAAAUCAUUCCCUCUGCUUUUUUUCGGACAUUUUACGUUCUUAAGAUAAAGUGGUGAUCCUAACUGACCUAAAACAGGGAAUAUCUACUAGGAUUAAAUGUCAGGAACUGUGAAAAACUGAGUUUAAAUGUAUUUGGCUAAGGUGUAUGUAAACUUCCAACUUCAACUGUACAUUUUUAAAGGGGGAGAAAGGGACGUUCAGAGGGAGGAAUGAGAGACAGAGGCAUAGUGAAAGAAACAAGAGUGACAGUGAAAGAGGGAGACAAAAAGAGAGAAAAAGGGGGAAGUGUGUGAAAGAAAGUGAAAAGAGCUUCACCUAGAAACCUCAUCAGAAACAACUCCCACCAAACCGACUUUUUUUCAACACACUUUUAAUCAAAAUCGAAUGUCACAGUGAAUUGUUUUGUUGAGGUCAUAUUGAAUUGUCGUUAAUUGAAAACUCAGCCAAAUGUAAAUCACAAAUAGACGUUGAACUGAUGUUUGUGCCAAGUGGGCUGUGAGAGAGCACUCUCAACACACAAACACACUCUUCUGGAUACAAACACAGACGCAAGGCCCACAGAAACAAGAAACCAGGAUUUAGCUAGGACUGUGUGGGAGUGGUCUGAGUAGGGAGGGGAAAACUGAAAAUGUGCUGUUAUUGGCAGAGAGGUUGAAAACUAUCUUUCUUAUUGGUCUAUUAACAAAUUUACUACAUGGUGAUGUCACCGUGGAAGGCCAAAACUCCAUCCCACCAAAACAAACUGAAUCUUCAUGCGUUCUUUUCAAUCAGCUCUUACACUAAAAUGGCAUUAUCAUCAUUUUCACAAUUUCACAGUAUUAUUCCAACCUCAUAGAGUGGAAAUGUACACAUCUCAAAAAAAUAAAGGGAACACUAAAAUAACACAUCCUAGAUCUGAAUGAGUGAAAUAUUCUUCUUAAAUACUUUUGUCUUUAAGUUGAAUGUGCUGACAACAAAAUCACACAAAAAGUAUCAAUGGAAAUCAAAUGUAUCAACCCAUGGAGGUCUGGAUUUAGUCUGGAGGUCUGGAGUCACACUCAAAAUUAAAGUGGAAAACCACACUACAGGCUGAUCCAAAUUUGAUGUAAUGUCCUUAAAACAAGUCAAAAUGAGGCUCAGUAGUGUGUGUGGCCUCCGCGUGCCUGUAUGACCUCCCUACAAUGCCUGGGCAUGCUCCUGAUGAGGUGGCGGAUGGUCUCCUGAGGGAUCUCCUCCCAGACCUGGACUAAAGCAUCCGCCAACUCCUGGACAGUCU